UUAAUUUACAGUACGCAGACAGUGGAUGCCUUGGCUUUGUCCACCGAAGAAGGACGUGCAUGGCCGCGAAAGUCGUCGGGUAGCUGCCACGAAGCUUUGAUCCGGCGGUGUCCAAAUGGGAAAACCCAACCGAGCUCAUCCUCGGUUACACCGUGAUGAAGUCGCUUCGCAUAUUGCGUAUGAACUCGGAAUUUUCAAUUUUCAAACUCCAAUUUUCAAACAAAUUCAAAUUUUCAAUUUUCUAAAUUUAAAAAAACAUUUAGAAUUUAAGAUUUUGAUAAUUUUGUAUUGUUUGGAAUUUGAGAUUUGGAAUUUUGUUAUUCCGCAAAUUCGUAUGUAAUACGCGGAGCGUAUUAGUUGCGGUUGUGGGAACCCGGGGAACUGAAACAUCUAAGUACCCGGAGGAAAAUAAAUCAAUCGAGAUUGCCUUAGUAGCGGCGAGCGAAACGGCAAUAGUCUAAACCUUAUUCGUGCUUGCAUGAGUGAGGGGUUGCGGGACCUCAAUGUGGGAGUAAACACUAUAGUAAAACGGCAUGGAAUUGCCGGCCAUAGAGAGUGAAAGCCUCGUAUACAAAAUGGUGUUUGCCUCUAGAGGUAUCCCAAGUACCACGGUGCACAUACACUGUGGGAAUCCGGGGGAACCAUCCUCCAAGACUAAAUAUGAGACAAAGACCGAUAGUGAACUAGUACCGUGAGGGAAAGGUGAAAAGAAGGGCGGGACGCCCAGUGAAAUAGAACCUGAAACUGUUUGCGGACAAACCGAGAGAGCUCGUGCGUAGCACGAGAAUUUUCAAUGUUCAAUGAUCAAUAAUCAAUGAAUUUUCAAUGUUUAAAUUUUCAAAAUUUGAAUUUUAAUUAUUGGUAUUUGUUUGAGAAUUGUAAAUUGAGAAUUGGAAUUUCUCACGCUAUGCGUGAGUGAUCUCGUGCCUAUUGAAGAAUGAUCCGGCGAGUUGCCGUGCUUUUUUGUCUAACCCCGCCGAGCGGGGGGAGGCGUAGGGAAACCGAGUCUUAAAAGGGCGAAAAAAAGAAAGUAUGGCAGACCCGAAACCAGGUGAUCUAGCCAUGAGCAGGGUGAACCCCGAUGAAAAUCGGGGGGAGGCCCGAACCGGUUGUUGUUGCAAUAACAUCGGAUGACUUGUGGCUAGCGGUAAUAUGCCAAGCGAACCUGGAGAUAGCUGGUUCUCCCCGAAAGGUCUAUAGGGACCGUGGCCGUUUGAAAUUUAGAAGUGGUAGAGCUACUGGAUGGGUGUGAGAGGGUAACCGAUUACGUUCAACCAAACUCCGAAUAAUUCUAAAUGUAGCGGCUAGACAGUCAUACGGGGCUAAGCUCGUGUGGCGAGAGGGAAACAACCCAGAUUCUCAUCUAAGGCCUCUAAAUUUACCUUUCGGCCGUAAGGCCGUAAGUUUACUUAAGUUUAAAAGGAAGUCGUAUUCCCCAGACAACCAGGAGGUUGGCUUAGAAGCAGCCAUCCUUUAAAGAAAGCGUAACAGCUCACUGGUCGACUGGAAUGUGGCGCCUAAAAUUUAUCGAGGAUUAAAGGUAGUGCCGAAGAUAGAAAAGCAGCGCAAGCUGCUUGGUAGGGGAGCGUACCAAUUACAGUGAAGUCCCGAUGUAAAUCGGGGUGGAGUUUUUGGUAGUGAGAAUGCCGGAAUGAGUAGCGUACAAUGCCUGUGAGAAUCAGGCACACCGAAUUCCCAAGGUUUCCGUCGCGAGGUUCGUCCACGACGGGUUAGUCGGUUCCUAAGACGAGGCCGUUUGGCGUAGUCGAUGGACAAGCAGUCAAAAUUCUGCUACUUAUUUUAAGUCGCAAGAGCGUCCCGAUUUAUCGGGAUGCUAGUUGGGGGUUGACGAAGAUGGAUGAUUGAAGCGAGGACGUGAAGCCUCGUGCAAGUUGUUAAAUAGUCCCGAACAGAAAAACUUUCGGGGUGAUCAAUUGAGCAGUGAUGCAGAUCCUGUCGAAAGAUGGGGGAUUUCAUACAAUUCAACUUACAAGAAAAGACUCGCAACAAGACUUAAAGUGAGCCGUACCGUAAUCCAACACAGGUGGGAUGGUCGAGAAGACUAAGGUGAGCGAGAGAAGGAUCUUUAAGGAACUCGGCAAACAAACUACCCGUAACUUCGGGAGAUGGGUUGCCCCCGAUUUAAUCGGGGGUUGCAACUAAAGAGUGCUAGUCGGCUGUUUAUCAAAAACACAGGUCCGUGCAAACUCGAAAGAGGCGGUAUA
rnacentral:rRNA from 1 species